CUGUUGCCUGCAAGAUGUAGAACUCUCAGCUGCUUCUUCACCAUGUCUGCCUGCAUGCCACUGUGUCCCAAUGUGACAAUAAUGGGCUAAACUUCUGAAACUACUGCAAAAAUAAGAAUUGGAAGUAGACUCCGGUGAGACACUGGCGGCACGUGUUCUACCACUGAGCUGCACCCUCAGCUUCACAUGCGUUUUGGAGGACACAUUAUCUGUGGCACCAUGGGAGGGUGAUGUCAACAUGGCAAGCUGGCCAUUGCUGAGCAGGUGUUGACAGUGGCUGGAACAGUUUAGGAGCACAACUUGGGAAAGUGAAGUUCAAGUCUAUAGGAAUUUUGCCCUCAUGGAGACUACCUACUGAGACAGUUAUGUGUGUUCACCUACGUGUUGGCAGGUGCUUAUGAAGGCCAGAGGCGUCUUCCUCUGUCACUGUCCACCUUGUUUUUGAGACAAGUCUCUCGAUGAUGCUGGAAUUCACGACUUCAGCUAGAUGAGGAGGCCAGUGAGACCCCCAGGAUCUCCCCUGGGCCGGGACUGCAGGGAACACUGUCUGCUUCACACAUCCCUCUAGAUGGCAAUGACCUCUCAGCCUCACUGGGAAAGGACUGAGCGCAGAGUGCCAGGUUUAGUUUCCUUUAUUACUUCAAGGCUCCGAGAGCCCACUGGAUACUGUGUCACUUCCUGCCCCAGCCGGGCUUCUCCUCUGGAGGAACUGGAUUUCAUUUGCUCCAUUUUCCAUGCUCAGAAGUUCACAGUCUGGCCCUCCCAGUGCAAUGAUGGCUGCAGUGAAGAGAAACAUCCAGACUCAGACACUCCCCAGCACAGUGACAAUAACCAGCAGCCAAACUUUAAGCAAAGAGCCCUGAGGACACGAGAGAAAGCUCAGAAGGGAAAGGAGACAUCUAAUCUGAAUGAAAGGGGAGGCUCAUUCCUGCUGCUGAAAGCUGCUUUGAAAGAGCUGAUUCACACACACACACACACACACACACACACACACACACACGGGCGAGCGCGAGCAAACUUAUUACUACUUAUUACUGUCACACACAUGCCCAUACAAACUUAUUACUGUCACACACAUGCCCAUACAAACUUAUUACUGUCACACACGUUGCUGUCAUACACACACAUACAUGCACACAUGUACACACACAUGCCCUUGCAGAUUUGUUGCUGUCACACACACACACACACACACACAUACACACACACGCAAACUUAUUACUCACACACACAUGCAAACUUAUUACUCACACACACAUGCAAACUUAUUACUCACACACACAUGCACUCACGCAGGCACUCUCACACACACACACACACACAUGCAGUCGUGAAUGCAAACUUGUUGCUGUGUGCCAUUCCUUGUUAAGUUUGCUUACUCUGGGCUCAGUCCCUGCAUUGUUAGCAUGCCAUUUAUGUGACCAAAGCAGGGAGAAACAUGUUUCUCAGCAAGCAGGGGAGAAGCUUUAGGGAGAGGUGCGGUCCAUUGCAUGCCCCGUGCAUUACCAGUAUAUGCAGAAAAACUCCUGUCCUUCUAGAGGCAGGAACAGGCUUGAGCCAGUUUCUACUCCCUGACACUUGACAGAGUGCUUGACACGACAGGAAACACAGUGUAAGUUCAAUAUAUAACAUACAUUUCAAAACAGCAGCCCUAAGUAUAAUUCAAUCUCCCUGAUAAUAAACGUGUCAGCAGUAGUACACAGUCACUUUUUAAAAUAAAUAUCUCACUUUUAUGUACCACAUAUAAUCAGUUACUUGAGAAAUAGAUUGUAAAGUGAGCAGACGAGGACGGAAAACAACUUAUUGUUCCCAGUGGAGUUUAAAGAGAUCAGGCACGUGUAGAAGGAGAGCUGUAUAACCCACAACGUUCUCUGCUUAUCUGGAUAGAUAUCGUUGUUUGAAUAAAGGCAAGACCUUUCUUG
rnacentral:lncRNA from 1 species